rnacentral:pre_miRNA from 1 species
GGCGUUCAAUAUCUGUGCAUAGAUUUCGUCACACACCAGACCACAAGGGCUGAUGAGAAUUCCAAGAUAAGUGAAGCA